rnacentral:rRNA from 1 species
AGAGUUUGAUCCUGGCUCAGAACGAACGCUGGCGGCGUGGAUAAGACAUGCAAGUCGAACGAGAACUUUCGCUGUAGCAAUACAGUGGAAGUUUUAGUGGCGAACGGGUGCGUAACACGUGGGCAAUCUGCCUUAAAGUGGGGGAUAGCUCGGCGAAAGCCGAAUUAAUACCGCAUGUGGUCAGGGAAGACAUCUUUCCGAAACCAAAGCCGGGGCAACCUGGCGCUUUUUGAGGAGCCCGCGGCCUAUCAGCUAGUUGGUGAGGUAACGGCCCACCAAGGCUAUGACGGGUAGCUGGUCUGAGAGGACGACCAGUCACACUGGAACUGAGACACGGUCCAGACACCUACGGGUGGCAGCAGUCGAGAAUUUUUCUCAAUGGGGGAAACCCUGAAGGAGCGACGCCGCGUGGAGGAUGAAGGCUUUCGGGUUGUAAACUCCUGUCAUUUGGGAACAAGGUGCACCGGUUAACUGCCGGAGUAUUGAUAGUACCAGAAGAGGAAGAGACGGCUAACUCUGUGCCAGCAGCCGCGGUAAUACAGAGGUCUCAAGCGUUGUUCGGAUUCAUUGGGCGUAAAGGGUGCGUAGGUGGCGCGGUAAGUCGGGUGUGAAAUCUCGGAGCUUAACUCCGAAAUUGCAUUCGAUACUGCCGUGCUUGAGGACUGGAGAGGAGACUGGAAUUCAUGGUGUAGCAGUGAAAUGCGUAGAGAUCAUGAGGAAGACCAGUGGCGAAGGUGGGUCUCUGGACAGUUCCUGACACUGAGGCACGAAGGCCAGGGGAGCAAACGGGAUUAGAUACCCCGGUAGUCCUGGCAGUAAACGGUGCACGUUUGGUGUGGGAGGAUUCGACCCCUUCCACGCCGGAGCUAACGCGUUAAACGUGCCGCCUGGGGAGUACGGUCGCAAGAUUAAAACUCAAAGAAAUUGACGGGGGCCCGCACAAGCGGUGGAGUAUGUGGCUUAAUUCGAUGCAACGCGAAGAACCUUACCAGGCCUUGACAUGCAUUUCUAAGCGGGUGAAAGCCCGUGAGUCCCGAAAGGGACAACUUGCACAGGUGCUGCAUGGCUGUCGUCAGCUCGUGUCGUGAGAUGUUGGGUUAACCGU